rnacentral:rRNA from 1 species
AUACGUAGGUGACAAGCGUUAUCCGGAUUUACUGGGCGUAAAGGGCGUGUAGGCGGUCUUGCAAGUCAGAAGUGAAAUUCCUGAGCUCAACUCGGGCGCUGCUUCUGAAACUGCAGGACUUGAGUGCUGGAGGGGAUAGCGGAAUUCCUAGUGGAGCGGUAAAAUGCGCAGAUAUUAGGAAGAACACCGGUGGCGAAGGCGGCUAUCUGGACAGUAACUGACGCUGAGGCGCGAAAGCGUGGGGAGCAAACAGGAUUAGAUACCCUGGUAGUCCACGCUGUAAACGAUGAAUGCUAGGUGUAGGGGUCGAAGGACUUCUGUGCCGCAGUUAACACAAUAAGCAUUCCACCUGGGGAGUACGGCCGCAAGGUUGAAACUCAAAUGAAUUGACGGG